AGCAGCCGCGGUAAUUCCAGCUCCAAUAGCGUAUAUUAAAGUUGUUGCAGUUAAAAAGCUCGUAGUUGAAUUUCGGGGUCAGUAGGUCGGUCGUGCCACUGGUAUGAACUGGUUUUACUGAUUCCUCCCUCUUGAAGAACUGUAAUGCCAUUAAUUUGGUGUUGCAGGGAAUCAGGACUGUUACUUUGAAAAAUUAGAGUGUUUAAAGCAGGCUUUAGCUUGAAUACAUUAGCAUGGAAUAAUGAAAUAGGACGUUUGAUCCUAUUUUGUUGGUUUCUAGGAUUGACGUAAUGAUUAAUAGGGAUAGUUGGGGGCAUUAGUAUUCAAUUGUCAGAGGUGAAAUUCUUGGAUUUAUUGAAGACUAACUACUGCGAAAGCAUUUGCCAAGGAUGUUUUCAUUAAUCAAGAACGAAAGUUAGGGGAUCGAAGACGAUCAGAUACCGUCGUAGUCUUAACCA
rnacentral:rRNA from 1 species